rnacentral:misc_RNA from 1 species
GAAAUGCGAUAAUUAAUGUGAAUUGCAGAAUUCAGUGAAUCAUCGAGUCUUUGAACGCACAUUGCGCCCCCUGGUAUUCCGGGGGGCAUGCCUGUCCGAGCGUUAUUGCUGCCCUCAAGCACGGCUUGUGUGUUGGGCUUCCGUCCCUGGCAACGGGGACGGGCCCAAAAGGCAGUGGCGGCACCAUGUCUGGUCCUCGAGCGUAUGGGGCUUUGUCACCCGCUCCCGUAGGUCCAGCUGGCAGCUAGCCUCGCAACCAAUCUUUUUAACCAGGUUGACCUCGGAUCAGGUAGGGAUACCCGCUGAACUUAAGC